AACAAACGCUGGCGGCGUGCCUAAUACAUGCAAGUCGAACGGGGAAAGCUUUCGGGUGAGUACUAGUGGCGCACGGGUGAGUAAUGCGUGGAUAAUCUGCCUUAGAGUGGGGGAUAACUAGUCGAAAGAUUAGCUAAUACCGCAUAAGACCACAAGAACUGCGGUUCAAGGGGUCAAAGGUUUUUCGCUCUAAGAUGAGUCCGCGUAAGAUUAGCUAGUUGGUAGGGUAACGGCCUACCAAGGCGACGAUCUUUAACUGGUCUGAGAGGAUGAUCAGUCACACUGGAACUGAGACACGGUCCAGACUCCUACGGGAGGCAGCAGUAGGGAAUAUUGCACAAUGGAGGAAACUCUGAUGCAGCGACGCCGCGUGAGUGAUGAAGGCCUUCGGGUCGUAAAGCUCUGUCGCAGGGGAAUAACACAAUGAAGGUACCCUGUAAGAAAGGAUCGGCUAGCUUCGUGCCAGCCGCCGCAGUAACAC
rnacentral:rRNA from 1 species